CGGAUGUGAUGUGAAACGCCGCCUGACCUGCCGUGGAGGCAAAAAACUGAUUUAAUGAGGCUGAUCC
rnacentral:snoRNA from 1 species